GGACCCGCACAAGUAGUGGAGCAUGUGGUUUAAUUCGAAGCAACGCGCAGAACCUUACCAACCCUUGACAUCCUGUGCCACUACCAGAGAUGGUACGUUCCCUUCGGGGACGCAGUGACAGGUGCUGCAUGGCUGUCGUCAGCUCGUGUCGUGAGAUGUUCGGUUAAGUCCGGCAACGAGCGCAACCCACAUCUUUAGUUGCCAGCAGGUUAAGCUGGGCACUCUAGAGAAACUGCCCGUGAUAAGCGGGAGGAAGGUGUGGAUGACGUCAAGUCCUCAUGGCCCUUACGGGUUGGGCUACACACGUGCUACAAUGGCAGUGACAAUGGGUUAAUCCCCAAAAGCUGUCUCAGUUCGGAUUGGGGUCUGCAACUCGACCCCAUGAAGUCGGAAUCGCUAGUAAUCG
rnacentral:rRNA from 1 species